UACGUAGGGGGCCAGCGUUGUUCGGAAUUACUGGGUGUAAAGGGUUCGUAGGCGGUGCGGCAAGUUGGGAGUGAAAUCUCUGGGCUUAACCCAGAGACGGCUUCCAAAACUGCUGUGCUUGAGUGUGGGAGAGGCUCGUGGAAUUCCAGGUGUAGCGGUGAAAUGCGUAGAUAUCUGGAGGAACACCGGUGGCGAAGGCGGCAUCCUGGACCGGUAUUGACGCUGAGGCGCGAAAGCUAGGGGAGCAAACGGG
rnacentral:rRNA from 1 species